rnacentral:tRNA from 1 species
GUUGCCACCCAUGAGGUUUGGUAGCAAAACAAUUUGGUGAGGUGUCCGAGUGGCUGAAGGAGCACGCCUGGAAAGUGUGUAUACGGCAACGUAUCGGGGGUUCGAAUCCCCCCCUCACCGCCAUAUUUAAAGAAGAGCUCGUACGAAAGUGCGAGCUUUUUUUUC